rnacentral:rRNA from 1 species
UACCAGCUCUCCGAGUGGUAGGGAUGUUUAUUGGGCCUAAAGCGUCCGUAGCCGGCUUAGCAAGUCUCCUGUUAAAUUCAGCGACCUAAUCGUUGAGCCGCGGGAGAUACUACUAGGCUAGGAGGCGGGAGAGGUCAACGGUACUUCCGGGGUAGGGGUGAAAUCCUAUAAUCCCGGGAGGACCACCAGUGGCGAAGGCUGUUGACUAGAACGCGCUCGACGGUGAGGGACGAAAGCUGGGGGAGCGAACCGGAUUAGAUACCCGGGUAGUCCCAGCUGUAAACGAUGCGAGCUAGGUGUUGGGGUGGCUACGUGCCACUUCAGCGCCGCAGGGAAGCCAUUAAGCUCGCCGCCUGGGGAGUACGGCCGCAAGGCUGAAACUUAAAGGAAUUGGCGGGGAGCACCACAAGGCGUGAAGCUUGCGGUUC